UACGAAGGGGGCGAGCGUUGUUCGGAUUUACUGGGCGUAAAGGGCGCGCAGGCGGUUAUCCAAGUCAGGCGUGAAAGCCCCGGGCUCAACCUGGGAACGGCGCCUGGGACUGGGUGACUGGAGUUCGGGAGAGGAGCGUGGAAUUCCCAGUGUAGAGGUGAAAUUCGUAGAUAUUGGGAAGAACACCGGUGGCGAAGGCGGCGCUCUGGACCGAGACUGACGCUGAGGCGCGAAAGCGUGGGGAGCAAAC
rnacentral:rRNA from 1 species